UUCAAUGCCAUUUACUUCUCUCACUCACUCAAGACUCUUCUCCUCUUCUAUCCAAAACUCUCUCACCCUUUUUAUUAUCAUAUUCUUGCUUGCCAGGGACUGGGGUUCCCAAAUCCUGCUAUUUGAUUCAGGUUGGUGUCGCAUCUUAUGAAGGAGAAAGAAGAGAGCGAUGGCAAGAAUGGUGAUCCUAAUCUGUUUACUUCUUCCGCUGCUGUUUGAGAGUGAUUCAAGGAAGCUAUCGUGGGUGCCUGACAUGCCAGGAAACGCUUCUGCCACUGCCACUCAUGGAGAAGGCAUGGAGAAGGAAGAAUGCAAAGGCGUGGACACGGAGAGAUGCACUGCCGGGCGAGGGAUGGAAGAUCACACGGAUUAUAUCUACACCCAAGACUCGGAGCCAUGAUUCCGUGUCCCCAUAUCAUUUCCACUUCUCUGUGUGUUCCCCCCUUUCUUGGUGAACCACCGGACAUCUGUUGGUCUCAUAACACUGGAAUUUAACUGUUUAAUACUUUGUUCAUGAUCUUCUUUCC